rnacentral:rRNA from 1 species
GACGAACGCUGGCGGCGUGCUUAACACAUGCAAGUCGAACGGAAAGGCACUGCUUGUGUGGGGUGCUCGAGUGGCGAACGGGUAAGGAACACGUGAGUAACCUGCCCUAGACUUUGGGAUAACUUCAGGAAACUGGGGCUAAUACCGGACAGCAGCCCCCGCUGCAGGGAGGGGGUUGGAAAGUUUCGGCGGUCGGGGAUGGACUCGCGGCUGAUCAGCUUGCUGGUGGGGUAGUGGCAUACCCAGGCUUGGACGGGUAGCCGGCCUGAGAGGGUGACCGGCCACAUUGGGCCUGAGAUACGGACCAGACUGCUACGUGAGGCAGCAGUGGGAAGUCUUGCACAAUGGGCCGAAGCCUGAUGCGGCAACGCCGCGUUCGGGAUGCCGGCCUUCGGGUUGAAAACCGCUUUCGCCUGUGACGACGCGUGAGUGACGGUACUGGGUAAAGAAGCACCGGCUAACUACGUG